rnacentral:lncRNA from 10 species
GUACUACAGGAACAUGCAUUUAUUCACUUAUUCGAAGAAGAAAGUAAAAGAAGAGUAGAACUGGAAGAAAAAGAAACUGAAAUGAAACUAAAGGAAUUGCUGAACUUCAAAGUCCUAUUAUCCUGACAUCAAAUACUCAUGAGGCUACAGCCUGACAAAUACCAACAAUUCUGAUGCAAAGACAUUUCAAAUUAGAGGAUAGAACAGAUGCCUUUUAAUUCUGAGUGUGAGAUCUCAGCUCUAAACUGGAAGAAUAGGCUGCAGGGUCCAGACAAUUUGAUUUGAGCGGGCUUGUGAAGACAUGAUGGAUGGCUGG